rnacentral:lncRNA from 1 species
UUACUCAAAGAAACUUAAUGAUGCACAUGAAUAAGUAGUGUACUUAUAUUGGAUUCCGGUAUGAUUCAAAAUUACAUCGUGCCGUAAAAAACCAGUUUCUUCUAAUCGAGCUUAAACAUUUAAUUACUCAAAAUUAUCAUCAGGUUGAGAUUAGGACUUUUAAGGGGAUUAAAAAAAUUAGAAAAGAAUUAGAAAAGUUUUGGGGCAGUUUUAGGAUUAAAAAAUAAAAAGGGGUUGAAAUUAGAAUCAUGCAAAAAGCUGAAGUUUACAAAGGCAUUUGGACAAGAGAGUCAAUGCCAAUCAUAACUAUCAAAACCAAAAACCACAAAAAGUGUUUUUUACUUUAAAGUGUUCACUUUUUUUUUUUUUUUUUGGCUCAUCACAUGUUUGGUAUUGUAACACGCGCCUAUGACCAUAUACACCAAAUUCGUUAUAUAUAUAUCCACAAGUGAUUAACUUUUUUUUUUGCAAAAUACUACAAAACCAAUGAAUUUAAUAUAAUGUAUUCAUUUCUAG